rnacentral:misc_RNA from 1 species
CAUAGCUGAAAUUCUUGCAUUCUUGCAAGUAAAUAUGCAUGAUUUUGUAAUUUCUAAAAUUCAAUCAAACACAGUUACAAUUAUGUCUAAAAUUUCUAUCAAAAUUUGCUUUCUUAUCCAACUACAGUAUCAAUUAUACAUCCAAGAAAAAGACUAUAAACUGCAAAAAAGAACUGUAUAUGACUGAACAAAUAUAUAAAAUUGGCAUUUUGGCAAUAAGGCUAAUCAGUUGUGAAGUGGGUUUGGCCCUCCUGGAACUUUUCUAUGAGAAACUCCAUAAACUGAGCCGAUCUCCUCUUUGCCAGAUCCUUCAGGAGCUUUCGCGGGAAAAUGCCAAGAAAAUGGUGGAGAGAACACAGGUUCGGCGGUUUGCUCAGUUGCUUGAUCACCUUUAUUUAAGUGGAGGUGGCGGCAACUUGAGAGCUGGCUAAGACCAAGUAUGAUCAACAGGCCCAGAAAUGCGAGUCUUGGACUUGGAAUUGGAAUCUUCAUGGUUCUUGAUUAUGAGAAACUGCAGAAAAAGAAGGUGACUCUAAACAUAUAAGCAGGAGCUACUAAUUGAAUUGAAAUUUAUAAAUAGAAGCAGGGUUUGUGCGUUCCUUCUAUUAUAGAUGAAGCAACCAGUGGUGAGCAUAGAGCCAAAACUCGCAAUUAAUCCUGUUAAGAUUACGGAAAUGCCCUUUUUCUUGCUGCAUAUUUCCAUUAUAUCACUUUAUUGGCCAAACUGCCAAACUUAUGAGAAAAAUACAAUGAGACCUUCUGAUAAUGAAGAACCUUUGCCUAAUUUCUCAACAAGACAUCCAUGAUCUUUAAAAGAUUCAAAAAGCUUGAAGAUCAUCAGGGGAAUGCAAUUAUAAGAACAUGGAAACAUGCCCAACUUGACCUGAACACCAGGGUAGAAGGUAGAUUCUGAUUUGAUGUAUCAAAGGACAGCUUGGACUUUUCAUCAUAACCCAA